rnacentral:rRNA from 1 species
AGAAUCAACGCUGGCGGCGUGCCUAACACAUGCAAGUCGAACGAGAAAGUGGAGCAAUCCAUGAGUAAAGUGGCGCACGGGUGAGUAACACGUGACUAACCUACCCUUGAGUGGGGAAUAACUUCGGGAAACCGAGGCUAAUACCGCAUAACACCUACGGGUCAAAGGAGCAAUUCGCUUAAGGAGGGGGUCGCGGCAGAUUAGUUAGUUGGCAGGGUAAUGGCCUACCAAGACGGUGAUCU